GCCCCAGCUAUGACUGCCAACAUCAACCAACUCCUGGAGAUAAGCAUGGAUAAAGCCGUGCUUGAUGUGGCAACACCCAAUCCUCCAGGUGAGGACAUACAAGAAACUCCAGAACAACAAAAAGUUUCAGGACAACUUCAGAUUUGGAGAAUUUCUAAAACCACAUACUCAUGUAUGCAGGAAAGCGGUUUGCCUACAGCCCCCCUGUUUACAAAACCCAGACAUUGCUUGCAGCAAUCGAUUACAACUAUCACAACCACCGCAUUCCUGCACGUGGCAAGGAUGGACACCGAAUGUAAGCUUUGCUAUAACAGUAGUGUACUACCAAAAAUAAUUCAUUAGUUCUUACCUAAACAGUUGUGGAAUUGUGCAAUUACUUUACUUUACUAGGUACAGACAGUACUUCAACAAGAAGUCCGAGCACUGGAAUGUAUAUGUGUUGAAGGAGAGCAAAGGCUACCAUUACAUUCCAGACCUGCAGAAGGCCAUCCUUGCUGAGAGGCUGGGAAGUGGAAUGGGCCUUCCCAGAAUACAGGGUCUAAGGCCUGAUGAUCCCAGGCGCUUGGGUUUGCUUGCCGCAACGCAGCCUCCAUCCACAUUUGAACUUGUCACGGCUCAGGUUUCACGGGGAGAGGGUGGUGCCCAAAGUGAAUUCUAAACUAUUCCAUUCUUUCAUAGCUGUGUAUGUAAAUAAUUUGCAAAUAAUUCAAGAGUCGUAAAAAGAAAUAUUUUUUUAUUUAUAUGUAAAUAAAAAACAAUGAACAUCAAACUGUACA
rnacentral:lncRNA from 1 species